rnacentral:rRNA from 1 species
GAUGAACGCUGGCGGCGUGCUUAAUACAUGCAAGUCGAACGGAAAGGCCCUGCUUUUGUGGGGUUCUCGUGUGGCGAACGGGUGAGUAACACGUGAGUAACCUGCCCUUGACUUUGGGAUAACUUCAGGAAACUGGGGCUAAUACCGGAUAGGAGCUCCUGCUGCAUGGUGGGGGUUGGAAAGUUUCGGCGGUUGGGGCUGGACUCGCGGCUUAUCAGCUUGUUGGUGGGGUAGGGGCUUACCAAGGCUUUGGCGGGUAGCCGGCCUGAGAAGGUGACCGGCGACAUUGGGACUGAGAUACGGCGCAGACUCGUACGGGAGGCAGCAGUGGAGAAUAUUGCACAAUGGGCGGAAGCCUGAUACAGAGACGCCGCGUGCGGGAUGACGGCCUUCGGGUUGUAAACAGAUUUCGCCUGUGACGAAGCGUGCGUGACGGUAAUGGGUAAAGAAGCACCGGCUAACUACGUG